rnacentral:lncRNA from 1 species
GAAAUAGCCGCUGAAGGGAAGAGCGUGUGGGGAGGCAGAUCAGAACUGCCGGCGUGGGAACGUAGAAGCGCACGGCGGGGCCGGGGGGGAUGCAGAGCCGGCAGCGGCCCUCCCGCAGCCCCCACCCCGCUCACCCCAGGGGAUGGGGUCACUGGGGGUUCGGCUUCCCGCAGCACUGUGCUUCAUGACAUCCCAAGGUGUCCCCAAAACCCAGCAAGUCCUUUGUGCAGCCCUGCAGGGAUGUGGCAGCGGAGACAGAGAAGCUAAACCUACACGAAGUGUACAACCAGGAAACUGAAUAGCACCACUGGCAAAGACCGUCCUCUCCCCAGACAGCCGAGAGUGACGAACACCUGAGCAGACCAAUGGCUUUGGCACGGCGGGAUGGAACCAACCCGAGCGUUUGGUCUCAGCCCACAGAGCCCAUGGAGGCAGAGCUGAUGGAGACCCAAACCUCCUACAGCUCCGGGAGGUUUAUCUGGCAGUAAUCUAACGGCUGGGUCACGUGGAGCCGGGCCGCAGAUUUAUAAUCGCGUACUUGAAGAUCACAGGCUAUGGAAAUUAUUGCUGCGCUGGCUGGAAUACAUUAUGCAAAGCAAUGCGUUAUCUGGAAGCCUGCACCGCACGCACACGCGCGCACACACUUCGGUGAUCUAUCUAUCGCUCCCCAUGCAGAUGUUCUGCUGCAAAGAAGUUCUAAUUAAUAUAUUGAGAAUACGUUUCCUGCCUUGUCUGCACCGGAGAUGAGCAGGGAAACAGCACUGAGUGGGGGAAAAGCCCCCACCGUGGAAGGAGUGAUAAAGAGAAAGGCAGGGACUUCAAAGCAGUUGGAAACAAGUGGGGUGUGAACUGGGGCCCAGCUCGUGCCCUGAGCGAGUGGUGGGGCUGAUGGCAACACAGGGCCAUAGCAGCAGCUGCAGCUCCUCAGUCCUCCUGCAGUCCCCCUGUCAGGAUAACUCUUCUCUCCCUCCAUCCAUUCAGGAGUUGGACUCCAGGAUCCUUACGGGUCCCUCACCCAUGACACUCCCCCAUACAGAACAGUCAAAGACCACAACAUCUGCUCCAUGAGGUGCAGCCCAGGAGCUAUUCCUCCCUGCGAGGCUGUGGGCAUUACUGCUGGCAUCAUCUGUCCCAUCACAAAGGGACAGCUUACAUCACCCCCCCGAGUAGCUGCAGAGAACCACGAAAGGAUGGGAGAUGAGGUGAGCGAGGCACAGACCCAACAGUGGGACACAGCUGGGCACCUCCAUCCCGCCCCAUAGGGGCAGUGAGAACCAGAACCCCCCCAGUGAACAUCAUCAGUCACGGAGGGCUCAGGCUUCACACAGGGAGAAACCCAGAUCGAUAACCCAGAGCAGAAGAGAUGUGAAAUUAGCCUUGCCAGGCUGGGGAGUGCUUUUAAAUUGCAGCAGAAGUGGUUGAGAGAUAGCUUGCUCUCCACAGGAACUUCUCCCCAUCCUUGGGAUUUAAGCCUGUUAAUAGUGGAGUAUGAUGAUAUUAUCUGUUUGUAUUGCACUUUUUAUCACAGACGGCUCCCAGGGUGAUUUGCUAUCAUGCCCUCUGAGAGCUGCUGAAACAUGGGAGCUGCAGGAAGCAGCAGUGAUGUAACCACCAUCUCGGUAGCAGCAGAGCAGGAGGGAUGGAGCAGAAGCCCUUUGCCAGGUGGGAUACACUGCACUCCUCAGCUUCCUGCUGCUUCCCACAGGCUUCGGUGCUGGCAUCCAUUCUCCAGCUCCCAGCCUGGAACAGGGCAGGUAAAUGGGGCACAGAGCUCCGGUGGGAAGGAGGGGCUCUUUGUGUUUGAGCGGCAACUGAUGGAAGAGCCCAUACUCCACAGGCUUGAAGCUCAACCCCAAGUAACCCCUCCAGAGACACUGGGUCUGCAGAACGAGUCCAGGCCACCCCAGGGAGCAUCCCAUGGCUUGCCAGGCAGCGUGGGGAGAGGAUGAGUGCAGCUGGCGUGUGCGGCUGUCCUCGCCAGGAGGACCAGCACCAGCAGUGACAACAUCUGCAGGCACCACCUGGACACCGAGCUGGGGGUGCGCUGAGCAUCACCUAGCGAUGCGCACGGGCAGGAUGAGCUUUUGCGUGCUCUCCUUCCAGCCAGGAUGGACCAUUGGCAGAACCACCUCCUUCCCUAAUUUGCUCACCUGGAGCACGUGCCCGGACCUCCAGGAGCUGUGUGGGACGAGACAGCUCUGUGCUGUGCAACAAACAUCAGCAGAGCUGCGGAGCGCUUCCACUCCCAGCUCCACCACCCCCUGAUUGACACCCUGUAAUAAAGAGAUUUACCACAUAAUUAUUGCGCAUUUGGGAUGCGGCACCAUUCUUUUUUUUUUUCCCUUUCUUUCUUUCUUUUUUAACCCAGUGACAGCUUUAAACAGCGGUUAAAGUAUGUGUUUAUAUUAAUGUCAUUAGUUAUUUUUGUGUA